GUUUCCGGCCUAUUGGACACUUUACGUUCACCAGCUGACUUCCCAGCCUUAGUGUACGAGCUUGGCGAGCUCAACAACCCUAAACUCCACGAAACCCUAAUAACAAUUUCCAAACGCUCAAACCUCAAAGCCUUUGUUAUCGAUUUCUUUUGCAACCCCGCGUUUCAAGUUUCCUCAAGUACCCUCAGUAUCCCUACUUACUAUUACUUCACCACCGCAGGAAGCGUACUCGCUUCUAACCUCUACUUACCAACUCUUCAUAAAAACACCACAAAGAGCUUCAGAGAACUCGGCAGCACGCUUUUAAAUUUCCCCGGAUUUCCGCCUUUUCCAGCAAGAGACAUGGCGUUACCCAUGCAUGAUCGUGAGGGUAAAGUAUACAAGGGCUUAGUCGACACCGGCAUCCAGAUGGCAAAAUCUGCGGGGGUUAUUGUAAACACAUUUGAAUUGCUCGAAGAGAGAGCUAUCAAAGCGAUGCUAGAAGGACAAUGCACUCCAGGGGAGACGUUGCCGCCUUUAUAUUGCAUAGGGCCUGUGGUUGGUGGAGGAAAUGGAGAAAAUCGAGGACGUGAUCGACAUGAAUGCUUGAGUUGGCUUGACUCGAAACCGAGUCGAAGCGUCCUGUUUCUUUGUUUCGGAAGCUUGGGAUCGUUCUCUAGUAAGCAGUUAAAAGAAAUGGCCAUUGGGUUGGAGAGAAGUGGUGUUAAGUUUCUUUGGGUCGUGAGAGCUCCAGCUCCCGACAGCGUCGAGAACCGAAGCUCAUUGGAGUCUCUUUUGCCUGAAGGGUUCUUGGAUAGAACAAAAGAUAGGGGGCUCGUGGUUAAAUCGUGGGCGCCGCAAGUAGAGGUACUGAAUCAUGAGUCAGUUGGCGGGUUUGUGACUCACUGCGGGUGGAACUCGGUGCUUGAAGGUGUUUGUGCCGGGGUGCCAAUGUUGGCUUGGCCUCUGUAUGCGGAGCAAAAGAUGAUUAGAGCGGUCGUGAUGGAGGAAAUGAAGGUGGGUUUGGCGGUGACUCGGUCAGAAGAAGAAGACGGGUUGGUGAGCGCAGCCGAGUUGGAGCAGCGAGUUAGUGAGUUGAUGGACUCGGAGAAAGGUAGAGCUGUUAAGGAACGUGCGGUGGCAAUGAAAGAAGCAGCUGCAGCAGCGAUGAGGGAUGCUGGGUCAUCUCGUGUUGCAUUGGACAAUUUGGUUGAGUCAUUUAAAAGAGGAUGCAUGGCUCCGUUGGGAUAGUCAAAACAAUAAUGAAAUUUGCACAAAAGUUUCAUAAAAUUUCUGUUUUGUAAUUCAAUAUUUUUCGUUUUAAUAAUUUCGUGCAUUUUUUUCUUGCCUUUGCUAACUUUUUGAGUAAUCGUAUAUGUAUAAAAUUAUUCGAGUAAAAUUAUUAAAGCUAGCACCUAUUCCCAUUGAUGAAUAGAGCAAUAGGAAAAGGUACGCAAACGAGCAAAAACAAUAAUAAUAAAUUGCAUUAUCUAAACCCUUAGGCAAUGCAUGGCUAAGAUUACCUUAUAACAAAAAGAAUUGUAAUAAGUUGCAUUAAUUAAGCCCUUAGGCAACUAAUGGCCGAGAUUACCUUAUUAUUGGCUAUAAGACAAAAGUUUGUGACUUAAAUUUUGCUCUCCUCUACUCACAUGACAUGGCUUUUGUUUUGUUUUCUAUUCAUUUAUGGUGCGUUUACUUCAUGGAAUGAGAAUUGGGUGGAAUGAGAAUUAACUGGAAAUGAGAAUGAGAUGGAAUGAGAAUGCGAUUUCAAUAUUUACUUGGCAAAAAUAAAUGGGAAUGAGAAUGUGCUGAAAUGUCAUUGAUGUGUUUACUUAGCAAAAUAAAUGAGAAUGCGGAAUGAAAAUGAGAAUCAAUUUACCAAAAUAUCUAUUAUAUUAAAUAAUGUAAUUUUUAUUAACUAGAUAAAUGUAUAAAUAUUAUUAUAAAAGUGCUAUUAAUUAAAAAAUAAUAAUAAUAAUAAUAAAUGUUAAUAAUGAUAAUAUUAAUCAAAAUAAUAAUAAUAACAAUAAUUAAUAAUAACUAAAAUAAUAAAGUCAAUAAUAAUAAUAAUAAUAAUGACAUUUAAAAUAAUAAAUUUAAUAAAUUUUGAUAAUAAUGAUAAUAAUAAUAAUAAUAAAUAAUUGUUAAUAAUGAUAAUAUUAAUAAAAAUAAUUAAUAAUAACUAAAAUAAUAAAGUCAAUAAAAUUUAACAAUAAUAAUAAUGACAUUUAAAAUAAUAAAAUUAAUAAAUUUUGAUAAUAAUAAUAAUAAAGUGUUAAUAAUGAUAAUAUUAAUAAAAAAAUAAUAAUAACAAUAAUUAAUAAUAACUAAAAUAAUAAAGUUAAUAAAAUUUAAUAAUAAUAAUGACAUUUAAAAUAAUAAAAAUUAAUUGUGAUUUGAAUGAGGGUAAUUCGGAAAAUAUGAAAAAAUUAUAGGGAUAUGAAAGUAAACUAAUGUUUCAUUCCCAACCCCCCUAUAGGAAUGAGAUUCUCAUUCCUUAUUCCCAAAUUGUAUGGGACCUAUACAUUUUAUUCUCAUUCUGAAAUUAUAUUUUGCCAAGUAAACAUGAGUUUCAUUCCAAUUCAUUUAUUCUCAUUCCCUAAACCCUCAAGUAAACACACCCUUAUUUCUUUACUUUUGUUUUAUUGGCUUAUUUAUUUAUUUACUUUUUCAUCCUUUUUUCUCUUCUCUAUGAUCAAUGCAAUUUUUAUUUUACAAUUUUUGAGCCCAUUCAACUCGUCAUUAUUUAUGUUUAGCUACGCAUUCUUUGCUCAGCUCGAGGUCAUAUUGUCCUUCGUUUAAGUAUCCAACACCGAUCAUAUCUUUUAGUAUUGGAAACUGGGGGGCUGAUGUUGGGUUUGCGAAAAUAUUUUUUAUUUUUUUCAAUAAUUAGUUUCCAACGCCAGUAAUAGCUUCUCGAUAUUGAAAACUAGAGGAUUCGUGUUAGAUUUACGAAUUUUUUUAAUUCUUUUCAAUAAUUAGUUUCCAACACUAGUAAUAGCUUCCCGAUAUUGAAAACUAGGGGAUUGAUGUUGAGGUUGGAUUUUUACUAAUAAUGUCAAGAAAUACAGUUGAUCCUAACCUCAGCUCGGAACCAAUUGCCGUUGAGCUGGCCUCAUGAGUACAACUAGGAGCCUAUGUUGGCAACUUGGUUUAUAAGUACAAUCUGGAGCCAAUGUGGACAAGCUGGUUUAUAAAUACAACACUAAGUCCAUACGAGCGACAUAAAAAUCCACCAAUCCGAUCUGAAAAUGAAGUAGUUUGACCUAGAAACUUGUUUGUCCGACCUUAGGAUGUGCUAGCUUGACACGGAAUAUUAUUUGUCAGGACCACAUGGCCUAUAUUUUGAGAAAGUUACAUAACACAACUUGUCAAACCGCCUUCAAUUGACAACUAGCUGCAAUUGCUCAAGAGAGUGGAAUAAAAUUGAUGAGAUAACCACCCACAACCGAGAGUCUAUUUAAGCUGAAAAGAGCAUCAGAGAAAAGGGGUAGAAAAAUUAACUAAAAAGUUCUACAAGUGACUAGUCUUAAAACCUUCAUAUUUUUUACAAGAUUGACAACACAACCACCAAAGAAUUCCUUGAUUUGAACUCAUUUCCAGUUCCUGCUUUUCAUUUUCUUUUUUCUCUUAAACAAAACAUCUGACUUAAGCAUCGGAAGAUUCCUGUCGGAAACCCCACCGGCGUGUCCUAACCGUGUUAUGUGGUUGGCAGGUAUAGGAAGUUGUGGUUGAGUUGUAGUUUGAGCUUGAAUUCGUGAUGUUAUUCCCCACAAAAUAAAUUCAGCUCUUGAGGUCAUUUUUUGGCAUCAACAUAGGGUUAGGUGUAGAGCUUAAUUAUAAAAUUUAACUCUUUAUCUCUCUAGAAGUUGAACUCAAACAAUCUAUAUAUAUAUAUAAAGUUAGGACUUGAGGAGGUGAUGUGGCAUCACCAUUUUGUUUCUUUGUAUAUUCUCUAUUAUCUAAUAAAUAGAGAUUUUUUUUUUUUAGAUUUGCCUUUUCAUCUUCUCAUAAUUAAUUUGAUUGUAUUUAACUCAUUUAAUAAAUAGAUAUUCUAAUACAAACUUAAAAUUAAAAAAAAAAUUAAUACUAAUUUUUUUUUUAAAGCCGCACGAAGUGCGGUUCUAUUUCCUAGUUAAUUAAAUAAAGAGGGUGAAAGCUACUCUUCAAAUUCCUGAAGUCAGGUAAACAUAAAUAAAUUUAAUCGAAGUAAUUAAGUUUUUAAAAAAUACUAGAAUUUUUCAUCAACUAUUUUUUUCUUUAUCAUGCAAAUAUAAGGGAAUGAUAAGUACCAGACAAUUUAUCAUGUAACUAAAAUGUAAAAUUAAUUCAGUUUCUUAGUAUACUCCUUGUCUUUUUAACUUUACUGUACUAAUAAUUAGGGAUGAGCAAACUCAGUCCAACUCAAUACAUCCGAUCCAAUCCAAUUUAAAUAAGUUGAGUGGGUUUGUAACGCCAAAUUCCAUAAUAUUAAAUUAUGGAAAUUGGGCUUUCAUGAGGAAUCAUGCGUGACUUUAUAAUCCUUAUUUAAUAGGGAUAUUAAAGUUAUAAAUAGGAGUUAUUUAUGAGAUAAAUUUGGAAAAUGGUUACUUUUCCAAAUUCAAUAAGGUUUCUUAAGACUCCCUAUAAAUUCAUAUUUUUCCCCUUCCAUAACCCUAAAUCCAUGACGUUUCUUCUUCUUCUCCGCUGCUCAUUACACUCUUACAACUCUAGGAUUCAAACAUUUAUUUAGGAGAGAAUCAAAGUGAUUUGUAAGUUUACUCUCCUUAUUCUCCACAAGAUUUCCAAUCACUCUAUCUAGGGUUUAUAUUGGCAUGAUUUUAGAUUGUUAUAAAUCAUAAUGCAUGAUUUAGAAUGUGUUUACAAACUCAAUGACCGGAUAUUAUGUAGGAAGCCCAUUGAGUUUGGUAUUUUACCAAAAAAGUUAUUGUUAGCCAAAUUAAGAAUGACAAGGCUAUCGAAUUGGAACCAACAAUCAGGAAGCUUUCCUGAUAGUAAGUUAUUUGAGAGAUCAAGAUAUAUUAAUCUGUUACUGAGGGAACAUAGGAAGGAAAUGGAUCCUGAAAAUUUAUUUUUGGAGAGAUUUAGGGAUGUAGCAUUUGAAGGAAGUGGUGGAAUUGGACCCUCAAAGUGGUUUGAGCUAAUAUCAAUACCAGGACCAGAAAUAUCAAAUCUCAAAGACAAAUCUGGAAGUUUACCUCUCAUCUGGUUGCUUGAGAGAUUUAAAAGCAUUCGUUGAUGAGUAAGAUCCCAAAACCAAUUUGGGACAGUAUCUGUGAUUUUGGCAUUGGAGAUAUCAAGCGAAAAAAUUUGACUCUGAGUUUGAAGCCAUUUUGGACAACGAGGCCCCAUCUUGCAAUGGCCAAGAGAUAUAGUAUUCAGUUGAAAAGGUGGAAUCCAAUCAUGGCUAAAUUCCAACGUCAAUGAGUUAUCUGCCAAGUCCAAUGCCGCUAACCUGGAAAGAUUUGAAAACAAAGCUUCGGAGAUGACACCUCCGAGUGAAUUUCCAUUAAGUUUCAACAUCUCAAGCUUGAACAAUUGGCCAAUGCUUUUGUGUAUCGUCCCGUUUAAAAGUUUAUUUUCAAGAUUCAAUUGUUUCAAAGAUGAAAAUUCUCCGAGAUUAGGCAUUGACCCUGUGAUUUCAUUGGAAGAUAAAUGCAGCCACUCCAGUGAGUUCUUUGUGCAGCCACUAGACAAAUCUUGAAUGAACUCAGAGAGCUGCCCUUUGAGUUCAUUGCCAGACAAGUAUAAUAUUUUUAAACCGCACAUAUUUCCAAGAAAUUUUGGAAUCCCUCUCAAUUGAUUAGAAGAGAGAUCGAGAUAUCUGAGAGACACCAUGCGUCCAAAAGCUUCUGGAAUUGAACCUUGUAAUUGGUUAGAAGGAAGGCUUAUACGAUCAACAAGAUUGCUACUAACACUGAACAACCAAGGGUAUACUGAAUUUGUGAGAUUGUUUUCGGUGAGAUCAAUAACCUCAAGAGAAUUACUAGAAUUGAGGUUCAAAAGAGAUGAAGGAAUGAUUGGUGGAAGAUCACACGAGUACAAGGACAAGGUUGAUAGGGAAUGGAGCUUGCUGAGUACUUGAACCCAGUUGCUGAAUUUACUGAGAUCGUUGAAAUCCAAGUUAAGAUAAAUUAAAGAAGAAAGAUGAGAAAGCCAAUCAAGAUUCUCACCAAUAAACAAAUUAUUGGAGCUGAGGUCAAGAGAUUGCAACCUUGAGAGGUUUCCAAGCUGAUGAGGAAUUGGUCCAGCAAACUCAGCACUAGAGAGACCGAGAUAGCUCAAUUUGCCGAGGGAACCAAGGAACUCGGGAAUUGAACUUCCACUGAAAUUAUUCCAACCGAGGUCCAAAUAAGUUAAAUGUUGCAAUUUGAGCAAAGCGGGAGUAAUUGGUACCUCUCAAUGGAAAUGAGUCAAAACCGAUUGGUUGAAGAUCAAGCUUGUUUUCAUGGCCGGUUCUUUUGCUACAGUCGACUCCUGUCCAUUUACGACAGUCUCUUUUCUCAUCUUCUCGUCCCCAAGAAGACAAAAUGCCAGAUUCAUCCACCAGGCUAGCUUUGAAAGUGAGAAGUGCCUCUCUCUCCUCAUCUAUGCACCUUGUCUUGUUAGAAUCUGCAACUACUACUCUUGGCUGCGGUUGAAACAAAAUCACAGAACAGAAAGCUAUGUAUUGAAGUAAAAGGAACCAUUUGGAUGACAUUGUGAAUAUUUGUUUUCAAUGCUUGAUAUCUGAAACCUCAGGAAUCCAGGCCAAUUAAUACUUGUAUAUCAACAACGGAGUCUUCAUUAAUGUCAAUAGUCGUCUACGAAAAUAAUAUUUUAGCCUUUUAUUAUCAUUAUAUGUCAUCUACAUAGAAAUUUGAUUAAUAAAAGAUCGAAUAGAGUAAGAGCAAAUCUUGUAAAAUUCCCUUCGUUCACAUUUCAGUACCAAUGAUCUUGAAUCAUGCGAACCUUCCACCUACUUUAUUGGUAACAUUAUUCUGGUUUGAAUAUUAGUUAUUAGUAUCAUCAUCCGUUUAAAUUUACUAGUCAACAAGUCUAUUAAUAUGUAUAUGUUUUGUCUUCCAUUAUUAUUAUUAUUACUUUGUACGUAUGUAGCUUAGCAUCUCUAGUCUCUAAUCCUUUAACUUUUACUUACAGUUUUCUUGGGAAAUUCUCUCCUUCGUUCACAUUUUGUACGAAUCCUACGAAGCGACCACCCACUUUAACAACAUUAUUUCCUAUUAAUUAAUAUGAAACGGCAGCGAUAAUCGGGGUGUAGAAAUCAGUUGUGCCAAGCGUACGAUAGGUAAAAGCCAAAAUUAUCCUUAUUAUCAUUUAUAUUUAAUACAAUUCUUUAUAUAACCUUACAUAUAUUAUAAAAAUCUAAAAUUAUUCUAACUCAAUAAGAAAAUAUUAUCAUUAUUGUAGGCUCCGUUUGGUACAACUUUUCAAGUAGAACUUAUUUAAUUAGAAUAUUUAUUAAUAGAGCUUUUAUAAAACUUUAGUCGUUUGGUUAUCAAUAAAAGAUUUUAUUAAAAAUUUAUGAAAUUACUUUAAUAGACAAACUUUUUAAAGUUAUCUUAUGAAAAAAAUAAAAUAAGAUUAUUAAAUAAGUAGAUGAUAUUUUAGAUAUUUUAACAUUUAAAAAUAGUUUUCAACUUCUACUCCCAAAAACCCAAAAUUUGAGCUUUUACUAGUAGAGACAAAACAACUUAUUUAAGCUUCAAAAGCUCUAUUACAAAAGCAAUAAAAAAAUAACAAAUAUUAUAAUUAGAGCUUAUGAGAUUAAAUCAACACUUAUAACCAUUAAAUAAGUCAUACCAAACAACCACUUAAAGAGAUUAUUAUUGUCACCAUUUAUAUUGAGAUAACAAAAUAACAUAAAUAAAAUUAAUAAAAUACAAAAAAAAAUUAUUUAUACAUGCUUAUAAAUGUGCAAGUAAAUUUUAUUCAGCAUUAUAUUCAUUUCAAUCACUUGCAUUCUUAUAAACAUUUAAUUAAUUCUUCCACAACUUAUUAUUUGUACAAAUUAAAAGAUCAUUUUAUCUUGUAAAAGUUUUGAAAAUAAAAAAAUUAUAAUUAUAAAAAUACCCCUAUUUUUAAUAAAGAAAUAAAUCCAAAAAUUAGAAUUUUUAUUUUUAAUAAAAAUUAUUUUAAUAAAAAAUAUAAUUAUAAAAAUAAUUACAAAAUUUUUGGAUUUAAUAAAAAUGCCCUAAAUUAUUAAAUUUUGGGAUUUAUUUUUUAAUAAAUAAAUUCAGUUAUUUUAAUAAAAUUUUACAAAAUUAUAAUUUUUAAUAAAUAAAUUCAGUUAUUUUUUAUUAUAAUUUUGAAAAUUAUAAAAUUUUAAUAAAAAUAAUUAUUAAAAUUUUGCAAAAUCUAAAUUUAAUAAAAAUCAACUAAGCACCUCUAUUUUGGAUUUUUUUUUUAAAUUUAGGGGUACUUUUAUAAUUAUAAUAUUUUUUUAUUUUUCAAACUUUUAUAAGAUAAAAUGGUCUUUUAAUUUAUUUAGGAUUAAAAUUAUCAUUUCGUUUAAAUUAUUUAACGGUGUUAGUGCAAAAGUGGUUAAUUGAUACAAAUUUAAAAAGAAAGAUGAUGCAGAGACCAUGUUAGAAUUUUGUAGUGCUUGUAUGAACAUAAUGCAAAAAAAAAUGUGGUGCAGUGAUAAUUUUCCUUUUAAAAACUAUCAUAAUACAUAAAUGGCCCAUAGAUCCACCCACGGUGUCUACAUAUUUUUUAUUAAAUACUUAUAUAUAUAAUGAGAAGUCAAUUAAAUGGAGUGCGAUUCAGAACAGCAAAAGUAAAAUAUAUUAUCGUGUUUCCUGGCAGAGUGGUUGGAGUACAAUUUAGAACAUCAAAUAUUAAACGUAAUAUGGUGCAUAUGCGGCAUAAUUGUCGGAGUGUAAUAGAAGAGAGCUAAAGAGGAGGAGAGACUAAGAAAUUAUAUAUGAAUUAUCAACAUAAUCUGCAGCCACCUAGGAAUUUUCUUUAUUUAUAAUAAUUUAGUUUAAAUUAAAAUUUAAUCCAAUUCAAAAUUAAACAAUCUGCAACUAGCCCAUAAAUUGAUUUGACUCAUUCCGUGUGUUUGGAAGACCACAUACUUGGCUUGUUAUAAAUUAAAGGAAAAUGCUACUUACCCCGAAUCAGAUCCCGGGUCAAACCCCGAAACGGUAGUAUAGGCCGUCGUUUCGUCUAUUAUUUUUUUUUGUUUUGAUUAUUUUUGAAACGACACCGUUUUUGCUUCUAUUCUUUUUACUCUAUUCUGAUUUCUUCUUUCUCUUCGUUUAACUUAACCCAACUUCUUUCUCUUUGUUUAACUUAACCCAGCUGCACACCCCUUGCUUCUUCCUCUUCGUUCUCUUCAUCACACCGUUUCUACUUUUAAUUUUUUUCUUUGUUCUGAUUUGCUGGGAACGAAGAGAAGAGAAACAAUAAUAUAUCUGAACUGAAAAAUGAUGCCCCUGGUUUCUUCAGUUUGAAGCAUAGUGUAGAUUGAUGUGUAUAAAUUAUUAAACUUAUGCAUGCUUCUGGGUUGUGUUUAUACGAAUCAUAUCUCGCAUCAUGAUUAUUUCAUUACCAUUAAUUUCUUCCUUUGAACUUGGAGAUUGUCCUCGAAAAUUUGUGCUCAUAUGUUUUUAUGUCUUGAUCCAUUUCAACAACAAAGAGACUCUGCAGCUAUAUAUGUUGUUGUGCAGGAAAGUAUAAAGUUGCGUGUUUGACCUGAGAAUCUGAAAAUUUCCUUACUAGUGCAAAAUAUGUCCUUUAACUUGAAUAAAAUACCACCAUCCUAACAGAAUGAGACUAGAUUAAUGAAUAAUAGACUAGGGAUUGCGAAUGGCUGCCAAAUCUUAAUUAAGUUCUCAAGGGCUGUGACUUUGGGUAGAUUGGAAUCUGAUGCUGAGGAGAAAUUUUGGAGCUUCCAUAAGAAAAGUGUUGGGGAAUAGGACAUUGAGUCAGUCUCAGACAGCAGCAAGCCUGCUUUAUGCGAGAGAGAGACGGGAGCAUUAGAAAAUGGGUUUGGAGUUGGAUACAAUAAUGGGGACUGGCUAAGCUUAAGACGAGGAGUGAGGAGACUAUGCAGGCAUCCUGUAUUUCAGUUCGAUGAAGGAAAAUGGAACAAGGCAAACGAAGGGGCAGCUGGGUUUUGAAGGAUUUGCAGUUGGAUUUGCAAACGAACGUGGCUGUCGGUCGAUGAAGAGAACGAAGAGGAAGAAGCAAUGGGUCUGUAGUUGGGUUAAAUGAAGAGAAGGAAAAGAUCAGAACAAAGAAAAAUAAAAUUGAAGCAGAACGGUGUCGUUUCUAAACGAAUCAAAACAAAAAAAAACAAAGAACCGAAAACAACGACCUAUGCUGCCGUUUCGGGGUUUGACCCGAUAUUUGACCCGGGACAAAUAGCAGAACUCUAAAUUAAAAGAGAAUUUCUCCUUUGUUGGGGUUUUGGCUUUGCCUUCUUUUUAGUAGCUGACAGGCAUUGUGAAUCAACAAAUGCCAAAACUCAAAAAAGUGCUGGUAUUUUGAAAAUACCAGUCUCAUCACAUUCACAAGUGAAUUUCAUUUUUCGUGAUAAUUACAGAAGGAUUAUUAAUAAAAACGUUAACUGGGCAUAUACAGAUGAUGAUCUAAAAUCUAAAGAGAAACAUACAAAUUACAGAAGUUCCUUCAAGCAUUCACCCAACAUAUACAUAAUGUACCACAUACGCAUGAUAUGAGAAGACUAAGUUAAUUAUUUAGAAAGCUAGGAGGAGAACUCUGUAGAGAAUGCCAUACGAUACGAGAAAGACACAAUGCUCCUGCCAGAAUUGGUGAGAAAAUAAAAAUAAAAAUAAAAAUCAAUGAAUCAUUAGUUUAUGAAAGAAAAAGCAUGUGAGCCUCUGUAAUCAUCAUAAUUAACUAAAACACAGUCACACGUGAAGUAGUAUUACCAUUAAGUUUAAUUGUUGUAGUUUUGCAAUAUUCAUCGCUGCUGUCACAUGGAGCCUUCACGAUUUAUUAAUUAACUCCGAAGUAAAGCGCCUCAAACUCCCCAAAACGCAACAAUGAACCCAAGAAUCAAAGACACAUAAAACCCGAGAGUUAUAAACUGAUCUUCAUCUUCUGAAGUGUCCGCGUCAUCUCUGCCUUCAGUCAUGCCUGACCCUGGAGCUGAUUCUUCAUCCCAACACUUAUUUGGAAGUGGGAGACCGCAAAGUUCAGGAUUUCCAGCAUACACUUAGCCAUUGAAGCUCUGAAGUUGAGUGCCUGUUGGAAUUUUGCCCAAGUUGUAUGACAAGUCCAUGACACUCAGAACACUUAACUGAGAAAGGCUCGAGGGAAUGCCGCCAACAAGCUGGUUUCUAGACAAAUCGAGGAAAUCCAAUGAUUUUAACUGACCAAUCUUUGGAGAGUUUUGUCCAGUCAAAUGGUUUCUUGAAAGGUUUAAGGCAACCAAUCCCACAAGAUCCAUUAUCUCUUCGGGAACUGCUCCAUUGAAGUUGUUACUUGAAAGCUCAAGGCUCGUUAUAAGCCCCAGAGUACUUCUGUACUCACGUUCACUUCCUUUCCAUGUCAGCAUGACUUUGUCCUGAAAGCUAUAGUGAUAUACAUAUGGAGGGCCAAUAAAGGUGUAAUGGUACACCUUAAUGGUGGGAUCGGAACUUCUUUCUUGGGUCAUAUCAGUAAAAUUAUUGAAACACUUUGGUAUCUUUCCCGAUAUAUUGUUUAAAGAAAGAUCUAAGACUUGAAGGAAUGCAAGUUGGCAUAACUGGAAAGGUAUUUUUCCAUGAAAUUUGUUAGAUUUCAAGCUAAGAACAAUCAAAUUUGAAAGACUUUCCCCCAUCCAUGUUGGUAUCUCACCGUACAAAGCGUUCUUCCCAAGAUCCAAAAGUCUGAGUUGUGAGCAAUUCCCAAAAGAUGAAGACAGUUCCCGGGUUAAACUGUUGCUGUGUAAACUCUGUGUUUGGAUAUUUUGUAGGAAGCCCAUCGAGUCUGGUAUUCUACCAGAGAAGCUAUUGUUUCCCAAAUCAAGAAUGACCAGACUAUCAAACAUCCACCAACAAUCGGGAAGCUUUCCUGAUAGUAAGUUGCUGGAGAGAUCAAUGUACGUCAAUUUGCUGCCGCUGAUAGAACAUAAGAAGGAAAUUGAUCCUGAGAAUCUAUUUUUAGAGAGAUUCAAGAAGGAUGAAUUUGAAGGAAGUGGUGGUAUUGGACCCUCAAAAUGGUUUGAACUAAUAUCUAUACCAGGAUUAGAAGUACCAAACCUUGAAGACAAAUCCGGAAGUUUACCAUUGAUCUGGAUGUUAGCAAGAUCUAAAAAGGAGAAUUUAUUGGAUAGAUCCCAAAACCAAUCAGGGAUAGUAUCUGAGAUUCCAGUAUUGGAGAUGUCAAGCAACUCAAUUUGAUUCUGAGUUUGAUGCCAUUUAGGAAAAUGAGGCCCUAUCUUACAAGAGGAACGACUUAUAAUAAUCAGUUGAAAAGGAGGAACCUAAUCAUCGCUCAGCUUCAAAACCAAAGGGUUGUUAGCUAAAUGCAAUUCGUUCAAGUUGGAGAUAUUGGGAAAAAAAAAAAUUUCAGAGAUAACACCUGUCAAUGAAUUCUGGGAAAGACACAAUCUCAAGCUUGAAUAUGCGACCGAUGCUUUUGUUUAUAGUCCCAUUCAAAAGAUUAUCUGAAAGAUAUAAUCUUUUCAUGGAUGAAAAUCCUCCGAGAUCAGGUAUUGGCCCUGUGAAGUGAUUGACUUCUAAAUGCAGCGACUUGUGAAUUCUUCAAGCAUCCACUCGACAAAUUUUGAAUGAUUGCUGAGAGCUAUCCACUGAGUUUGUUAUCAGACAAGUUUAACUUGUUUCCGAAGAAUUUGGGAAUCCCACCUUCAAGUUCAUUGAACAUGAGACUGAGAUGUUCAAGAUAAACCAUGUGUUGAGAACACUCUGGAAUUGAACCUUGUAAUUGGUUAAAACUAAGGUCAAUUGAAACAAAAUUGCUACUGAUGUUGGACAACCAAGGGAAUAUGGAAGAAGUGAGAUUAUUAUCAGAGAGAACAAGGGUCUUAAGAGAUGUACUAGAAUUGAGGUGAUUAAGAGACCAAGGAAUAACGGGUCGAAGAUAAAGAGUGCAAGGACAAGGUUUUCAGAGAAUGGAGCUUGCCAAUUACUUGAAACCAAUCACUACAAUUAGCAAGAUGGUUCUUCUCCAGGUUAAGAUAUCUUAGAGAAUGGAGCCUUAAACUUCUCCUCAGCAGCUUCCUGUGCGCACAACAGCUAGUCAGAGGACGCCGGAGGUUUUUCCGGUGUAAACCCUCUGACACUCAAGUCAGCAAUUUGGGCUUAGGAAAAACUAUGCCAUCAGUCUCGUGGCUUAGUUGUGAUUUUUUAUCUUUUAAUUCUUGAAAAAAUGGUCAAGAAGAGGGAAGAAAAAGUGCCAAAGAGAAUUAAAUUUUAGAUAAAUUUGACCUCAUAGUGUCUAACCCCUUUACCUUCUCCGAAUGUCCCUUUUAUAACCUGCCUGGACAUUCGGUCUCCAUUACCCCACGUUCGUCACUUCAUCAGGUGUUGCAUCGUGAGUACAUGAGCACCGUAACUGUUGUCGAGUGGGAAGAAUGCACGUGUUGAUAGCUACCAUUGAUAGCUACUAUUUGGUCUCCUCGUGAUUCAUCUAACAGUCGUACUAGAUAGCUCCUCGACAGUGAAUCAUUGGUAUCUGUCGAAGAGACACAGUAAUUUCUAAUUAUUGGAAGUUACCUACUUAAAUACCAGAUUCAUCGGAUUCCUAUCAAAUGAAAAAGUAAGCUCUUAGAUAUGCUUAUUUUUACAAGCACAAGGCAUGAUAGAUGGUGAUUUUCACUUGCAAAAUCAAAAGUUCUAUCAACCCCCAAUAAAUUGAAAAUGUGAACACUAGUUUCAAACAACAAGGAUAAUGGGCUAGGAAUCAGUAAUAUUAAGCAAACGAUUGAAGGAAAAGGCCUCGAAGCACUUAAAUCAAUUCUCGGUAAUUUGCAACGAAAGAUGAGUAGCUCGGACUGGACUUUCUUUUGGAUAAAAAUUGUUAUUAUUUUGAUUUUGGUUUGACAAUCGACAGUUAUAAUUGAUAAACAACAAAUAAAAGGAGGCCAUAACCUGAUCCUUAUAAAGUUAAAGGGCCAAUUUCAUAAUACUUAAACUAGAAAUAAUAUUGUUAAUUUGAGUGAAUUUUGCUUAGAAGCACAUUAGACCACGUGAGGAUCUUAAUCAGACGCGAAGACUUAUAUAUAUGAGAAAUAUUCCAGUCCGGAGUUUUAAAGUGCGGGAACGUUCGGGAAAAUGCAUAAACCGUGUGGUUUAAGCGCUUUAAGUUUUAAGCCUUUAAAAUCCCGCGGUUUUAAAGUUUUUCCGGACGUUUCCCGCACUUUUAUGCGUUUUCUCGAACGUUCCCGCACUAUAAAAUUUCGGACUAGAACAUUUCUCUAUAGGUUUAUACACACACACACACAUGAGACUAUUGCUCAAGAGUAUAAUUCAUAUUACAUGAGAUUGCAACUGAUAUUUACAAAUAAAACUAUUACUGGGACUAGUUUACAUCAAUUCUUAUGAAGCACUGCCCAUAUUUUUAAUGAGAUUACAACUGAUAUUUAUAAAUAAGACUAUUACUGUGACUAAUUUAUAUUAAUUCUUAUGAAGCACUGCCCAAAUUUUUACUCACAUUUCAAAAAGAAGAAGACUGCAUUAACUCAAAUUGAGGAAGGAAAUUGUGGGGGCUCGAACUCAUGACCUCACAAGUGUGAAGUUUGGAUUCUAACCACUAGCCUAAAGCGCGGACAUAUUACUACCACUUAAUUGACAACCUAUCCAAGUACUGUUUCCAAUUUGGACUUAUUCUUGGCUGCUAUUGCAUAGAGCCAAUCUUUUGUACCAGUCAAGAAAUUAAAAGAUAGACAUGUCUCCAUGAAUUAUUGAGUAAAUUGCCCAAGCCUCCUGAGAAGUCACAAUCAGUUAAGAAUGACAAAAUCUUCCAUGGGUAUGGGGUUCUAUGAGGCACCACCUCAAAUGAGGUAAAUUUUUAAAUAAUUUUUGGGGAAUGGGGUGGGAAAUGAGAAAAAAUAAUCCCCAAAUUCUUAAUGGAGUGGGGUUUGGUUUUGUACUCCCACGCCAACCCCACCCCCAAUCCCCAUUGUAUAUAAAUAUUUUUCUAAUUUUUAUUUUAUUAAUUACAAUAUUAGUUAAUAAAUUUUCUUUUCAUUUUUACUUGAUAUAAAUGGGAUAUAACUAAAAGAAACCCUACAACAUAGAUUUAAUUCACCCUAGAACAUUAUUAUGUUUUAUUUUCUCUUCAAAUACUGCUCUCUUUAAACAUAUUUCAAUUUUGAUAUCAUUUUAAGAUAUUGUUUCAUACAUUUGAAGAUUUUUUAAUAAUUUAAAUACUUUAUAAUAUGAUAAUGAUUUUAUUUAAGUCUUCAAUUUUUAAUUUAUUGAUUCCUCAUCCCCAACCAACUAAAUUUACCGGUGAAUGAGGUGAGGAAUAGAGGCGAGAUUUUUAAUAGGCCGGGGAAUGAGGUAGACCUUCCCACCACUACCCGACCCUGUUGCCAUCCCUACAAUCAGUAAUAUCAAACAUAGAAUUGAAGAAAAAUGGCACUCAAAUCAAUGCCAAUUUCUAAUUAAUGAAGUUACAGGCUAUGGUUGCAGAUUAACUAGAUUCCGAUCAAUUACUAAAACAAUAACUGAAAUGUCUCGUAUAGAGAAUAUGUGCUAAACAAAACCAUAAACAAUUUCCUUGUAAGCAUAUACUUAAUAUCAAGUACCAUAUGAAAAUACAAGCUUAUCAAGUACCAUAUGAAAAUGCCAAUUACUUUCACAUUUCAAUACCAAUUAUCUCGUAGAUUUUCGUGCUCUGUUCAAAAAAGAAAGAAAAAAUCUAUGUCUGUCAAGUAAAAGUUGAGGGUGCUAUCUUAAAAAAAAAAUGCAAACAUUGAUCCAUCAUGUGAGAGUUUGUAAUAUAAUGUGUUUGGUUAACAGGAAAGUUAACGAGAAAAUGAAGAAGAAGAGAUAAGAAGAAUCUAGAGUUUAUUAGAUCUAAUUACCCUUUACAAUAAUGAUCUAAGCUAUGUUUUUAUACAAAGAUCAAUUCACAUACUCAAGUCUGUUAUAACAAAUACACGUGCUUAACAAACUUGUUAACAGUAAUCUGAGUCAGCUAACUAACUUGAACACGUCAGCAGUGGAAUUAUCUUAUGCCCGCAACUCCAUACUCUAAUCAUGCUCUGUAACAUCCCCUCUCAAGCUAAACUUUCCAGGAUGAACGUUUAGCUUGCUUCGAAGAUAAUGAAACUGAUCAAAAGUUAAUGGCUUGGUAAGUAUGUCUGCAGUUUGAUCUUCACUAGGAACGAAUUGCACAACUAUCUUCUUUGCUGCUACUUUCUCCCUGAUGAAAUGAAUAUCCAGUUCCACAUGCUUGGUUUUAGCAUGAUACACUGGAUUGUAAGCUAAGGCUAUAGCACCUUGAUUAUCACACCACAUUAUAGGAGCUGCGGCAAGCUUGAUUUUGAGUUCAUCAAGCAGUGCUUGAAUCCAUACAGCUUCAGAUGUGGCUUGAGCUAAAGCUCUAUACUCAGCUUCAGUACUGGACCUUGAUACCACUGGUUGCUUCUUAGAACACCAGGAAACUAAGUUUGAGCCAAUGUAAACUGCAUACCCAGCAACUGAUUUUCUAUCAUCUUUAUCACACGCCCAGUCUGAGUCACUGAAGCAAUUCAUUUGUAAAGUUCCAAAAUGAUAAAAAUGCAGACCAAAAUGAAUUGAGCCAUUCAAAUAUCUGAGAAGUCUCUUACAAGCUUCCCAAUGUUCUGAAGUUGGUGAAGACAAAUAUUGACUAAGUUUAUUAACAGAGAAAGCUAUCUCAGGCCUUGUAAGUGUCACAUAUUGCAAAGCUCCAAUUAUGCUUCUAUAUUGAGAUGCAUUAGUAAUGGUUGAACCUGAUCCUUUUCUGAGCUGAUGUCCAGUAGACAUAGGAGUAGGAACAGGGCUACAAUCUGCCAUAUUAUGCUUAGCUAAGAGAUCAGCUAUAUACUUUGCUUGAGAGAGAUAGAAUCCAUUUGAAGUUUUUGAGACUUCAAUCCCAAGAAAAUAAUUCAACUCUCCUAAGUCCUUCAAAGCAAAAGUUUUCUGCAUAUUAAGAAUCACUUGCUGCACCAGCUGAUAACUAGAACUAGUAACAAUGAUAUCAUCCACAUAUACAAGCACAAGCAAAAUAUGACCAUUUUCCCACUUAUAGAAGAGUGAACUAUCAGACUUAGAGUUGAGGAACCUCCAUUGAGAUACUAUAGCAGAUUUGAACCUGUCAAACCAUGCUCUGGGGGCCUGUUUUAAUCCAUAGAUUGCCUUCUUGAGUUUACAGACAUGAGUAGGUCUGGUGGAAUCAGUAAACCCUGCAGGCUGGGCCAUAUAAACAUCUUCAACCAAAAUACCAUUUAAGAAGGCAUUAUUGACAUCAACCUGUCUUAGAAUCCACUUAUUCAUAACAGCUAAGCUUAAAACUAUUCUGACAGUAGAUGCUUUCACAACUGGACUGAAGGUUUCAGUGUAAUCUUCUCCAUGUGUUUGAUGAAAUCCUUUUGCUACAAGCCGUGCUUUGUAUCUAGAAAUGGUACCAUCUGAGUUGUGCUUAAUUCUGAAAACCCACUUACUUCCUAUCACUUUGACAGGAGCUGAAGGUGAAACUAAGUCCCAAGUAUCAUUAUUUUUAAGUGCUUGAUACUCCUCUUGCAUUGCCUUGAACCACUUUGGAUCAGAUAUUGCUUGGGUUAUAGAUGUAGGUUCUGAAGGUGUAGCCAAAAGACCAGUAAGAUAUGAUUUAGGCUUAAAAAUACCAGCCUUUGAUCUAGUUAUCAUAUGGUGUCCUACUGGAGGAGCAGUAGGUAUGACAUGAGGUGGGAAGUUAAUAUGACUUGGUAAAGAUAGAUUAUGUGAUUGGUCUGUGGGAGAAGAUAUAGGAGAAGAAGAUAGAGAUGGUGAAGGAGCAUAUACCUCUCUAGGAGCUGGAGAUGAAGUCUCUGAGGAAUCACUUGCUGAUUGAGGUUGCAGAGGAGAUUGUAUUGGAAAAUGAGUAAAAGAAGGAAGAACAGAAGAGACUGUAUUUGAUGAAACACAAGACUGAGAGACAGAAGAAAAAUCUGAACCAGACACAUAUGGAAAGGAAUUUUCAUAAAAAAUGACAUGAUUUGAGAUAUACACUCGACCAGAGGAAUGAAGACACUGAUACCCUUUAUGGUGGCUGUUGUAGCCAAGAAAGACACAUCUUCCUGACCUAAAAGCAAGCUUGUGUUUAUUGUAUGGCCUGAGAUAGGGAAAACAAGCACAACCAAAAAUUCUAAGAAAGUUAUAAUCUGGUGUUUGAGCAAAGAGCUUUUGAUAAGGAGAAAUGUUAUUUAAGGUUGGAGUAGGUAACCUAUUGAUGAGAAAAACAGCCGUGUGAAAAGCAUUCCACCAAAAUUUGAGUGGCAAAUUUGCUUGAGCAAACAAGGUAAGGCCAAUGUCUACAAUAUGCCUAUGCUUUCUCUCUAUUCUACCAUUUUGAUGGUGAAUAUAAGGACAAGGAUGCCUAAACUGAAUUCCAGACUGAGCAAGAUAAGUAGAAAAACUUUUAAACUCCCCUCCCCAAUCUGUUUGCACAGUUUUAAUAUUUUUAUUCAAGAACUUUUCAAUGAAACUUCUGAAGGUUUGAAACACUUGUAGUGCAUCAGACUUAGCAGCCAAAGGAAAAAUCCACGUAAACCUACUGAAAUCAUCUAAGAUUGACAGAUAGUAGGAGUAGCCUUGUGUUGAAGUAACAUGUGAGGGACCCCAGAGAUUAGCAUAUAAAAGCUGAAGAGGUUCAGUUGUUUUUGUGGCAACAGAAUCAAAAUGUAACAAAUGACUUUUUCCAAAUUGACAAGCAGAACAAAAAUUCAAGACUUUGGUUUUAUUGAAAAUACCAGCAGUACAACUUUUCAAUACAGUUUUAAGAGUAUGAAAAGCAGGAUGCCCUAGCCUUUUGUGAAGCAAAUUAACAUCUACUUCACUUGCUCUAGCUAUGAAAGCUUUCUUACAUGAUAGAUGAUGAACUGUAUCAGAACUGUUUAGUGAACCAGAAGGAUUACAAGACAUAGAAGGAAAAUAAGCAAACAUAGACUCAAAUUUAUUGGAAGAAGAUUGACAUAACAAAGCUGUGCUAGCUUGAGAGAAUUGAGAUGCACUUUGAACUUGAUACAAUCCUCCUUUUGCAAUUCCUCUAAGCAAAAUGAUCCCUGAGCUCCUGGCCUUAAUGAAGCAAACAUUUGCAAAGAAUUCAAUAGAAACAUUAUUAUCAGCUAAGAGUUUGGAGACACUGAGUAAAUUUUUGGUUAUUUGAGGAACAUGAAGAACAUGAUUUAGUAAUAAAGGUUCAUGUGUGGUUGUGUUUAGCAAUACUGAUCCAAUGAGAUUAAUAUGCAAGGAGGAACCAUCUCCAACAAGUAGUUUUUCAUUUCCAGUAUAAGCUUUUGGUGCUAGAAGUUUACCUGAAUCAUUAGUGAUGUGAUUGGUAGCACCACUAUCAAUGUACCAGGUAGGAUCUUCAACUAUCUCUGGAGCAGGCACUAAUGUAGCUGAGGAAGAACCACCACUGUUAUAAUCUUCAUUGGAACAAAAAACAGGUGCAGAAGGUGUGAAACCAGAGGAGCUGCCAGGAUGAGCAACAUAAAGUGCAGUGGGAUCUGAGUACAUCACAUAGCCUUGAUAACCAGAACCUCUUGGCAUAUUAGAAUUUCCAAGAUUAGGUUGACCAAACAUAUUGCCAGGCUGAGGAUAAAAACCUCUACCAUAAACUCCAUUAUAAGAUCGACCACCAUUGUUUCCAAAACCUCUUCCAAAAUUCCUUUGACCAGGCCUAAAGUUGCCAUUAAAUGCUCCUCUAGCUUGAUUCCUAGAAGGCACAAAAGCAGAGUUGUACAUGUUUCUGCAUUUAUUUGCUCCAUGCCCAGGUAUAAAACAUAUUUGGCAGAUGAUUGUUGAAUUAAAAUCACUUGUCUGACCCAUACUAUUUCCACCAAAACCAGAGUUAUAAGCACCUCCAUUGUUAUAUUUUUGGUUACCACCAGCAUUUUUCCCAGAAUUAUAUUGCUUCUGAGCUAUAUUAGCUGUCAGAUGAUGUGUAACAUCACUAGCAAUUUUGCAUUUUUUCUGCUCAACUCUAUUUUCAUGACUUAAUAACAAGGAAUAAAAUUCAUCAAGACCUAUGUUGUCACCUCUAGCUAAAACACUAGUAACCAGAGAUUCAUAAUCUGAAGAGUCCAAUCCAGUUAACACAUGUUGAAGAAAGUCAUUCAACUCAACUGGUUUUCCAGCCAAGGCUAAGCUAUCAGAUAACCUUUUCAUUUUAGCAAAGUAAUCAAUCAUAGACAUAGAUCCUUUUUUAAGUGUUUGAAUCUGCAUUUUAAGUGGCAUAAUUCUAGCCUGAGACUGAGAGAUAAACAUACUUGUGAGUGCAUCUAGGAGCUCUUUAGCUGUGGAGCAAUGAAUCACUGUUGCAAGUAAGUUUUGUUGGAUGGACGACAUCAUCCAACUUAGAAUCAAUUGAUCAGUCUUAGUCCAAGCUGUAUAUUCUGGAUUGAUCUCUUGAUCCUCCACUAGAGUUGAUUGACUAGUAAUAGUGCUUGCUGACGAGAGAAACUUUUCUGGACAAAUUCGAUCACCAUUGACAAAGCUUUCUAAACCGUUUCCUUUGAUUGAUGUUAAGAUCUGAGUACGCCAAACAAUGAAAUUAUUCUGAUCUAGUUUGACUGGAGUUGCAAAGCUAUAGGAUCCAGAAAUCUGAUUAGAGCUCAUCAUGUUUGCUCUGAUACCAUGUGAGAGUUUGUAAUAUAAUGUGUUUGGUUAACAGGAAAGUUAACGAGAAAAUGAAGAAGAAGAGAUAAGAAGAAUCUAGAGUUUAUUAGAUCUAAUUACCCUUUACAAUAAUGAUCUAAGCUCUGUUUUUAUACAAAGAUCAAUUCACAUACUCAAGUCUCUUAUAACAAAUACACGUGCUUAACAAACUUGUUAACAGUAAUCUGAGUCAGCUAACUAACUUGAACACGUCAGCAGUGGAAUUAUCUUAUGCCCGCAACUCCAUACUCUAAUCAUGCUCUGUAACACAUCAGCUGAAACCAAGCACAAAUAUAUAAAGCAUAGAAGAUGGGCUAAACAGAGCAGCCGUACACAAGAUCCUUUAAGCAUACACUUAAUAACAAAUACCAUAUGAAAAGACUGCAUUAUUCUAUUGUGUAGAAAACUUCAGACCAUUAUCAAUUGAGCAAUUUGUACAGAAGGAACAGAGUGCCAUCCGUGAGAGACGGAAUGCAUAGCUGCCUGCAGUCGAAAAUAGUGAAAGAAAAAAGAAAAAAAAUGAAAAAGCAUUAGUUUUUUGAGAAAGUAAAUCACGGAAUUGGAAAGAGUAAAACUUUAAGAAUACGAAGGAAAAUUAACAUACUAAAUGAGCAUUAGAAUUAUUUUCACUCUCUCAAGUCUUAACAAGUGAGGAAGUAUUACCAAUUAGUUCCUGAACCUUCUUUGCAAUUUUGGUGAUAUUCACCACCGCUGUCACGUAAAACCAAUUUUCGAUACCAGUCAAGAAGUUGUAGUAACGAUGUCUCCAUGAACUCUUCACUAAUAAAGUGCCACAGAAUCCCCAGAAUCCAACAAAAAAACCAAGAAUCAAACACACGUAAAGUCCAAGAGUUAUAAAUUGAUCCUCAUCUUCUGAAGUGUUUGCAUCAUCUUUGCCUGGACCUAGAGCCGAGUCUUCAUCUGGACGCUUGUUUGGAAGUGGGAGGCCGCAAAGUUCAUUUCCAGCAUACGUUGAAGCAUUGAAGCUCUGGAGUUGAGUGCCCGAUGGAAUUUUUCCGGACAAGUUGUUGUAUGACAAGUCCAUGACGCUAAGAUCACUUAAAUGAGAAAGGCUUGAAGGAAUGCCUCCAAAAAAUUGAUUUCUAGAGAAAUCGAGGAAACCCAAUGAUUUUAACUGACCAAUCUUUGGAGUGAUUUGUCCAGUUAAAUUGUUUCUCGAAAGGUUCAUAGCAAUCAACUCAACUAGAUCCAUAAUCUCUUCAGGAACUUUUCCACCUAACUUAUUGCUUGAAAGGUCAAGUAUCUUUACAAGUCCCAGAGUGUUUUGGCACUUGUAUUGACUUCCUUUCCAUGUCAACACUGCUUGGCCAAAAUACCUGUACAAGUGCUGUACAAAGCCUCCUUCAGUAGUGUAACUACCGUUGGAGCUAAUGGAGAGAACAGAACUUUUUUCCUGGGCCAUGGCAGUAAAAUUAUUGAAACAUUUUGGUAUGAUUCCCGAUAUAUUGUUUGAUGAAAGAUCUAAGAUCUGAAUGAACGGUAGGUGGCACAGCUGAAAAGGUGCAAUCCCAUGGAAUUUGUUGGACAUCAGACUAAGAACAACCAAUUUUGGAAGGCUUUUUCCUAUCCAUGUUGGUAUCUCUCCAGAUAACGCAUUCCUCCCAAGAUCCAUAAGUUUCAGUAUUUAGCAAUUCUGUAAAGUUGAAGGCAAUUCUCCAGUUAAGCUAUUGUUGUGCAAGCUCAAUAUUUGGAUGUUUGGUAGGGAGCCCAUCGAAUCUGGAAUUUUUCCAGAGAAGUUAUUGUUUUCCAAAUCCAGAAUGCCUAACCUAUCAAACAAGAGCCAACAGUCUGGGAGCCUUCCUGAUAGUAAGUUAUUUGAGAGAUCAAGAUGCGUUAACUUGUGGCCACCGAUAGAACAUAAGAAGGAAAUCGAUCCUGAAAACUUAUUUUUGGAGAGAUUUAAUAAUGAAGCGUUUAAAGGAAGUGGCGGAAUGGGACCCUCAAAGUGGUUUGAACUGAUAUCUAUACCUGGACCAUAAGUAUCAAAACUUAAAGAUAAAUCUGGAAGUUUACCCUUAAUCUGGUUGUUGGAGAGAUUUAAAAAAGAUAGUUUAUUUCUGGAUAGAUCCCAAAACCAAUCUGGAGUAGUAUCUGAGAUUUCUACAUUAGAGAUUUCAAGUGAAACAAUUUGAGUUUGAGUUUGAAGCCAUUUUGGAAAAUGACGCCCCAUCUUGCAAGAGCUGAGAUAUAUAUACUCCAAUUGAAAUGGAGGAAUCCAAUCAUGUCUGAAUUUCAAAGUGAAAGAGUUAUGAUCUAAAUGCAAUACCUUUAAGUUGGAGGUAUUCGAAAAAAAAUCUUCAGAGAUAACACCGGUCAGUGAAUUCCUAAAUAGUGACAGCUCCUCAAGCUUGUACAUCCGGCCAAGGCUUUGGUUGAUAGUGCCAUUUAAACGAUUGCCUCCAAGAUACAGUCUUUUCAAGGAUAAAAUUCCUCCAAGCUCAGGUAUUGGCCCUGUGACGGCAUCGUCGUCUAAAUAAAGUGACUCCAGGGAAUUCUUGGCGCAUCCACAAGACAGAUUUUGAAUGAACUCAAAGAGCUGUCCACUGAGUUUAUUGGAAGACAAAGAUAAUUCAUUUAAGCAACACAUGUUUCCGAAGAAUUUUGGAAUCCCACCAUCAAGUUCAUUAGAACUAAGCCCAAGCUCAACAAGGUUGCUACUAACAUUGAACAACCAAGGGUAUAUUGAAGAAGUGAGACUGUUUUCAGUGAGAUAAAGGGUCUCAAGAGAUUAUUACGGUGCAAUAGAUCAUCAGCCGAUAGAAUGAAAGGUGGAAGGUCACACCCUUCAAGGAUCAAGGUUGUUAGGGACGAGAGCUUGUAAACUACAAGAGGCCAGUCGUUGGAAUUACUGAGGUUAUUUUGACUCAGGGAAAGAUACCUUAAAGAUGAAAGAUGAGAAAGCCAAUGGAGCAGGUUUCCGACACUUAAUAAAUCAUUGUACCCAAGGUCAAGAUGUUGCAAGUUUGAAAGAUUUCCAAGCUGAGGAAUUGACCCAGCAAACCCAGCCCAAGCAAGAUCGAGGUGCCUCAAUUUGCUACUGAGGGAACCAAUGAAGUCAGCAAUCGGAAUUCCACUGAAAUCAUUGAAACUGAGGUCCAAAUUUUACGCAAAGAAGGGCUUAAUAUUUUACCUUUCAGUUUUAGAGCCCCGUGUUGAUGAAGAUCAAGAGCGUAUACGUGGCGCGUUUUGUUUCUACAGAAGACUCCUGUCCAUUCACAGCAAUCUCUUUUGUUAUCUUCACUUCCCCAGGAAGACAGAAUGCCAUGUUCAUCCACAAGGCUCUGUUUGAAAGUGAGGAGUGCUUCUCUUUCCUCAUCUAUAUUCUUGGCGCCAACUGUAACGAAAUCACAGAAAAUAAAGCUACUUGUGGAAGCAAAAGGAGCCACUUGGAUUGCAUUGUAAUUUUAUUUGAUCCGCUUUGAAUAUAAAUAUAUGAUAUAUCUGUAUCGUUGUAUUGAAACCCAGGGACCUAUGCCAAUUUAUACUUCGUUCAUCUCAACGUACAAGUCUUCAGUCGACUUGGAAAAAAAUUUAAAAGAAUUUACUAUAUAUUCUUUUUAAUUAAUUGUCAUUUUAUUUUGGAUAAUAAGACAUACAACUCUAAAUUUUUACAAAAAGAACAAAAUACACCCCUCGUGGAUAAAUGCACCCACAUUCGUUGACUUUUAUUAUUAAAUGGACUAUUUUAUUAGUUUUGACAUUCACAAUGACAUUUAUACCCUCACAAUGAUUUAUUAAAAGUUAUUUUUUUUUUAAAAAAAAGCGUUAUAUAGAUUUCUAUGAAUAUGAUGUAAGACUCAAAAUUAAAUCUAAUUUUAUUGAUAUAUCAUAUAUGUGUCUAGUAAUAUAAGAAUAUACUGUUAAUUUUAUUUUGACUUUAAUCUACAUCAAGCUAAAUGAUUUUGCUUAAUUAACUUGUGUAGUAAACAACUACUAUUAUAGAAAAUUAAAUAAAAAAAGUUUUGUAAAUGUCAUAUAAUGAAUAAAAAUUUAUAGUUAAAACAAUUCAAUUGAAUUUAUUACACUUGUUUUCAGUACAAAUUUUUGUUUCUAAUUGAUGAGCGAUUUUUCUUUGUUUAACUAAAACAAAUGAAUAAAUUAUUUUUCACUAAAAUUUUGUAGAACCUGGUUAAUUUUAUAACAAUUAAUAAUUUUUUUUAUUAAUUUACUUGUUUUCACAUUUUUUUUAUAGUCUUAUAUAUAAUUUAUAAAAUUUAUGUUCAUCACAGCAUUUUAGAAAUUUUCAAUCGGAUGACAUAGCAUUUCAUGACGGUCGCGAUGUUUUCCUUAUGUGCAAUUUAUAAUGGCAAUAACAUGUACUUGCCCUAUAUGAAUGGUCAUAAUGACAUAUUGAUUUUAGCUCAUAGUGGUUUCCAUUGUCUUAAUUGAGAAAAUCUUCUACAUAAUCAUCAAAAUUCUUGAGAAUUAUCUUGUGACUUUUAUAAUAUGUGUAACUGCUCAUUUAUUCAACCAUACGAGUUUAAAUUAUUGGAGAAGAUAGCAACUAAAAAUUAAUAUGGGCUUUGCCAAUACCAAUUGCUUUGCGUAGUCUUCACGAAGUAAUAAUCAAACUACAUGCAUUUUUUCCCUCUCUCGUUCUCUCUUUUUGACUCUUCCACAUUCGUGAAAAAUAAAUGAGUGUCCAAAAUGCAGAAUUUGGUGCAGGACAAUGAAAAUGAUAUAUAUGCGUAAUGGCAGAUGCGUUCCGACACUACGUAUGUAUGUAUGUAUGUAUGUAUGUAUGUAUGUAUGUGUGUGUGUGGAGAGAGAGAGCUGCGGUUUUAAAAUUUUUUAAGAUUUUCUCGCAUUUUAAAAUUUUAUAUUGAAAAUUUUGUGUACAUAUAUUCAAUGAUGUAUUAUGUGGUGCAGAACUAUGUUGAUGUCUAGAAUUUCUUAAAAGAUAAGAUAAUAUAUUUAACUGAAAUUUUACCCAUUUGUAUACAAAGUUUAAUUUUGGCCCCCUCAAAUUAAUGAUAUUUCGAUCUUGAUUUUGGCACUGCCGUUUCACAAAAAUGAUCUAGUUAUUAUACGCAGGAAUAUUCCAUGAAGAUGUCACAACAUCCAUCUAAAGGAGUUUUGUAAUUUACACAUUUGCAAUUUCUUGAAAUUCAAAGAUUAUUCAAUAAUUCGCUUCCUUCUCUAAUUACACAAACUAAAGAUUUUCACGACUCUAAAAGGUGGGUCGGUGUGACUUGUGAGGUCCAAACCACUCUAAUUUCGAUUCUUAUUUAGUAAAUAAGAAUUAAUAUGAAAUAUUUAAAAUUUUAUAGUGCAUUCACUAAAUAGUAAUCAAAAUUAACUAGAAAACUAAUGAGUUAGAAACGCAAGAGAUAUAAUUGAAAUGAGGAAUUGGAAUUAGAAUAAGUAUAAUUUAUUUAUUUAAACUGUAGGAAUUAUAAUUAGAAUGAGUUGUAUUAUCAUUUAUGUGUUUACUUUAUCUUAAAAUCAAAAUCGGAAUGAGUUAAAUUAUAACAAAUUACUAUAAAAUCCUUAAUUAAUUUUAUCAUAAUUAUUAUUUUGUAUUUUAAUUAUUGUGAUUAUUAUUAUUAUUCAAAAAUUAAUAAUAAUAAUAAUGAUUGUUAAUAAUUAUUAUUAACAAUUUAACUAAAAAAUUAUUAUUAAUUUUUGUUAAUAGAUUAAUUAAUAAUAGUACUUUUUAUUCUUGUUAUUAAUAAUAAUAAUAAUAAUCAAUUUAAAAAUUAUAAUUAUAUUUAUAAUUACAAUAAUUAUUUUAUUAUAAUUAUAAUCUAUUUAAUAAUUAUUAUAUUUUUUAAUUAAAUGGAGGGUAUUUUGGAAAUUAUAGGUGGCUAAUUUGAUACUCUAAUCUAAGGGUUUCAAUAAAAUAAAAUAGAGUGCAAGGGUCUCAACAAAAUUUUAUAAUAAAGAAAGUUUCAUAUAUUUAUAAAUAAAUUAUAAAUAAUAUAGAGUUCAAGGGGCUAAACAGUAUUUUGUAGCAAACAGGUCAGAAAUGAAAAGACAAGCCAGCUGUAGCUUACUUAGGGGGAUCCGCUAAAAUAAAUGUUUCAGUUGUACUAUGUGGGCUAAAAUAUAUGUCAGGUCAAUUAUGUCAGCAUACUGUGCGGGCUAAAAUAAAUGUUAAGUUAUACUAUGUGGGCUAAAAUAUAUGUCAGGUCAAUUAUGUCAGCAUACUGUAAUAAUGUGAUUGUCUGAUGGGGCCAUAACCUGUCAAACAAGUGAUAGCAGAUCCUCAACAUAAUUGCAUUGCGAUUAGCAAACACAAAGGAGUCCUUUAUCACUCUCAUUCUCUCUCACUAUAAUUUCUCACCAUUUCCACUGUUUUUUAUUUUAACUUGUAAAAUUAAAGAUUAAAAAAAUGAAAGAUACGAUCGUCCUUUAUACUUCUCCAGGAAGAGGUCACUUAAACUCCAUGGUUGAAUUAGGAAAAUUGAUACUCGCUCACCAUCCUUGCUUCUCCAUCGACAUCAUAAUCCCCACCGCCCCGUUCGUAACAAGCGCCGGUACCGAUGAUUACAUCGCCUCCGUCUCCGCCACAGUUCCCUCCGUUACCUUCCACCAGCUCCCUCCUCCGGUUUCCGGCCUACUCGACACUUUACGUUCACCAGUUGACCUCCCAGCCUUAGCGUACGAGCUUGGCGAGCUCAACAACCCUAAACUCCACGAAACCCUAACAACAAUUUCCAAACGCUCAAACCUCAAAGCCUUUGUUAUCGAUUUCUUUUGCAGCCCCGCGUUUCAAGUUUCCUCAAGUACUCUCAGUAUCCCUACUUACUAUUACUUCACCUCCGGAGGGAGCGGACUCGCUGCUCUCCUC
rnacentral:lncRNA from 1 species